rnacentral:sRNA from 1 species
UCGAACACAGUGAGACAACGGCGCCGCUUGCGGCGACGGCCCGAAGGGCGAGCGAAGCGAGUCAUCCUGCACGACCCACCA